UCGUAACAAGGUUUCUGUAGGUGAACCUGCGGAAGGAUCAUUA
rnacentral:rRNA from 1 species